rnacentral:ncRNA from 1 species
ACAGAUUCGGUUUCCCCCUCUUUACGCGAGGAGGUGGGAUGAAAAGGGAAUCGGGUGAAAAUCCCGGACAGUCCCGCUGCUGUGAAACUUCGCGAAGUUCCGAAUAUCUCCGCCACUGACCCGCCCGGGUCGGGAAGGCUUCGGAACAGGAGUCAGUCAGAAGACCUGCCGGAUCGA